rnacentral:lncRNA from 1 species
AAGAAAAUGCGAAUGCUAUACUGUGUUUUUUUCUGAUAAGAUGGAAAUAGUUCAAGCUGUUAUUUAUUUAUUAUUUUCGAGUCUAAAGGCGAGAUAUACAGUACAUAUAAUUAAGGUUUUUGAUUUAUCGGAAGAAAAGAUCUUGGAUCAGCCUUUUUUACAGUUCCGUUUCCCCACCCCGGCAUUUUAUAAAAAAUUUUAUACCAUCAUUUUGUUGUCGUUUUAUUCUGAAUACUGCCGUGAAAUUCUUGGAGAAAUUCGUGUUUUAAAAUGAAAUGAUAGCCCUUCGUCUUAUAAUUAGAACAAAUCAAUUAUUGGAAUAGCUUUCUGUUGUUUUGCGCUAUAAAUAUUUCAUUUUCUGCCGUUAAUUUCUUCACCAAAUUUUACGUUUGAAUUUGGA